rnacentral:rRNA from 1 species
GAUGGCCUCUGGCUAUCACUUACAGAUGGGCCCGCGGCGCAUUAGCUAGUUGGUAAGGUAACGGCUUACCAAGGCGACGAUGCGUAGCCGACCUGAGAGGGUGAUCGGCCACACUGGGACUGAGACACGGCCCAGACUCCUACGGGAGGCAGCAGUAGGGAAUCUUCCGCAAUGGACGAAAGUCUGACGGAGCAACGCCGCGUGAGUGAUGAAGGUUUUCGGAUCGUAAAGCUCUGUUGUUAGGGAAGAACAAGUGCCGUUUGAAUAAGGCGGCACCUUGACGGUACCUAACCAGAAAGCCACGGCUAACUACGUGCCAGCAGCCGCGGUAAUACGUAGGUGGCAAGCGUUGUCCGGAAUUAUUGGGCGUAAAGCGCGCGCAGGCGGUCUCUUAAGUCUGAUGUGAAAGCCCACGGCUCAACCGUGGAGGGUCAUUGGAAACUGGGAGACUUGAGUACAGAAGAGGAGAGUGGAAUUCCACGUGUAGCGGUGAAAUGCGUAGAUAUGUGGAGGAACACCAGUGGCGAAGGCGACUCUCUGGUCUGUAACUGACGCUGAGGCGCGAAAGCGUGGGGAGCAAACAGGAUUAGAUACCCUGGUAGUCCACGCCGUAAACGAUGAGUGCUAGGUGUUAGGGGUUUCGAUGCCCUUAGUGCCGAAGUUAACACAUUAAGCACUCCGCCUGGGGAGUACGACCGCAAGGUUGAAACUCAAAGGAAUUGACGGGGGCCCGCACAAGCAGUGGAGCAUGUGGUUUAAUUCGAAGCAACGCGAAGAAUCUUACCAGGUCUUGACAUCCUUUGACCACUCUAGAGAUAGAGCUUUCCCCUUCCGGG